rnacentral:rRNA from 1 species
AUUGAACGUUAGCGGGAUGCCUUACACAUGCAAGUCGAACGGCAGCACGGAUCGUCUUGGUGGCGAGUGGCGAACGGGUGAGUAUGUAUCGGAACGUGCCCAGUAGCGGGGGAUAACUACGCGAAAGCGUAGUUAUACCGCAUACGCCCUACGGGGGAAAGCAGGGGAUCGCAGACCUUGCACUAUUGGAGCGCCGAUAUCGGAUUAGCUAGUUGGUGGGGUAACGGCUCACCAAGGCGACGAUCCGUAGCUGGUUUGAGAGGAGACCAGCCACACUGGGACUGAGACACGGCCCAGACUCCUACGGGAGGCAGCAGUGGGGAAUUUUGGACAAUGGGGGAAACCCUGAUCCAGCCAUCCCGCGUGUGCGAUGAAGGCCUUCGGGUUGUAAAGCACUUUUGGCAGGAAAGAAACGUCAUGGGCUAAUACCCCGUGAAACUGACGGUACCUGCAGAAUAAGCACCGGCUAA